rnacentral:rRNA from 1 species
GGUCAAGCGAGAGAUGGCAUGUGGGGGAUGCCUGGGCACAGAGAGGCGAUGAAGGCCGUGGUAAGCUGCGAUAAGCUCGGGGGAGUGGCACACACGCGGUGAUCCCGAGAUGG